GUGGGGAAUCUUAGACAAUGGGGGCAACCCUGAUCUAGCCAUGCCGCGUGAGUGAUGAAGGCCUUAGGGUCGUAAAGCUCUUUCGCCGGGGAAGAUAAUGACGGUACCCGGUAAAGAAACCCCGGCUAACUCCGUGCCAGCAGCCGCGGUAAUACGGAGGGGGUUAGCGUUGUUCGGAAUUACUGGGCGUAAAGCGCGCGUAGGCGGAUCGGAAAGUUGGGGGUGAAAUCCCGGGGCUCAACCCCGGAAUUGCCUUCAAAACUCCCGGUCUUGAGGUCGAGAGAGGUGAGUGGAAUUCCGAGUGUAGAGGUGAAAUUCGUAGAUAUUCGGAGGAACACCAGUGGCGAAGGCGGCUCACUGGCUCGAUACUGACGCUGAGGUGCGAAAGCGUGGGGAGCAAACAGGAUUAGAAACCCCAGUAGUCC
rnacentral:rRNA from 1 species